rnacentral:rRNA from 1 species
AUGCCCUACGACCUCUACUCCGCGGGGCGCAACGAGCGGCUCAAGCACAAGCAUGGCUCGUACGCCGCCGGCGAGGAGGAGGCGAGGGCCAUGGCCAAGGGCCCUUGCGUGGCCGUGGAGCUGUCCAAGUGGCGGGGCGCCAAGAAGGCCGGGGCCCCCGAGCCCCUGCUGAGGAGGUCGAUGCCGGCAGCAGCAGCAGCAGAGUUCUCGCAGAGCUACAGGGCCAGCGGUAGCCUGAGCGCCAUGAGGUCCUCGCUGAGGAUUCAAAUCCGUGAGAAUUCAACAGACGGAUCAGUACACCAACCCGACAACGCCCUUGGCGUGCACGACCCUGCCACGACGAGCUUCCACGCCCCGACCUGCUUCGGCGCCCAGAUCCCCGGCACACGUGAACGACGACGGCUGCUCGUCCUGCCGCGCCGGCGCAAGGUGAGUGGCUUCUGUGAGGUUCUCUCUACUAAUUCAAUCAAUUGCCAUGAAUUCGGUUACAAGCUGGAGAUACAGGAGGAAGAGAUAGAGAUUACAGAAGGGGAAGGAGGAAGAUGA